AAACUCAUAAUUCAUUUUAUUUAUUGUUUCUGUUGUUUGUUUAAAAUGUUUCCCAGCUUCAAUGUUAAAAGUUUAUUAGAAUUUAAAGUUUAUGGAUCGUUCAGAAUGAGCUGGAGUUUGUUUACGUUGGUCUCUAAGCAACAAUAUUCACAUUUUACUACAAUAACGCUAUUAAUGUUAUUAAUCUGAUGGUAAAAUGGAUCUGGAAAAAACAGAUUUCUGGUUGGAGCUUCAUCUUCUCUCUGAAUGAGGAAGAGGAGGGUCGGGCCCACGGACCCGAUCAGAACCGAUCAGAACCGUGAAGGUUCUGGUUUGAUGGAUCUGGCCCAGAGGUUCAGCUGAUAAAAAGCAGCUGCAGCAGGAAACCUCCAUGAUGAAAAUGAUGAUGAUGAAGAUGAUGAUGCUUUCCUCUGAGGAAGCGUGGAAAGUGUCGGCGCUGUAAUUACCACUUCCUGCGUGUUUAUGGCCUCAUGAUGGCGUUUUGAUCCAGAUGCUUAAUCACAGCCUGGAGAGGAAGACGAGCUGCGACACGCCGAAGAUCCCUGGGAUCAUCUUCAUCCUUUCUCCUGGCUUCAUCAUCAUCACUCACUUUUAAACAUUUUAGUUUUGAGUUUAGUUUAAAUUCAGAGUUUUAAAGAAAAAGUUCAACCAAAGUUCAGAGAAAAACCUUGAGGAGGUUGAAGAAGAGCUGAGAGGAACGACACUGCUCAGGGUCCCUGAACGCACCGCCGGCCUUUUAAUUAACACGGCAACAAGAAUGCAGCGUCUGAGCUUCAAAGCAACGAGAACAAACAGAGCGGCAACUUCAACACGACCUGCAGGAGGAGAAGAAAGGAGCGGCUGUUUGCUGAGGCGGAGAGCAAACAGAGACGCAGCUACUUCCUGUUUCAACUCCCACCUGAGACAAAUCCCAUCAUGCACUGCGUCGGCUCCUGGCUGAUAAACCGUUUCCUCCACCGUAAGAAAGUUUCAACAGCUGAAACCAACCAGAGUUCAACCGAACCCAGGAGGACCAAAGGUCAGAGGUCGAUGAGCGAUCACACCUCACCAACCGGACCGGACUUUCUGGACGGACGGACGGACGGACGGCUGCCCUCCAGCUGAUCUGAGGUCAGACGACCUCCGUCAGGUUCUUCAUAUCUGAACCUGCAGGCAGGCGGACAUGUUGGUUCUGAUCUGGACCCAUCUGGUACCGACCAGCAGGUUCUGACCACUGAAACCCAAACCGAGCUCAGGGAUGAACCUGGAGGCUUUCUGUGGCAGAAACCAGAGUUUGUGUUUCUGUUUGGUUCCUCAGGAAGUCGGUGAAAGGUCAAGGAGGGAUGAAGAUGAAUCCUCCUCUUCCUCACUUCGCUCCAGUCAGGAGGACUGAGAGCCUGAAGGCCUCUGAUCCACAGGCCCGUCCAGAGUGUGUGUGUGUGUGUGUUGGGGGGGGUUCCUCCAGGUCCGAGCAAAAGGCUGAAUUCCUGAAAUGACUCGAACCGAAGACGAGGAGGAGGAAGAGGAGGAGGAUGAAGCGUCAUGUGGAGAUUCCAGAUCAUCUGAGCUGGAAGUUUAUUCGCUGCUUUGAAGUCUGAACUCCUGGCAGACGAACAGAACCUCCUCAGACGGGUCGGAACCACAACACCGGGCCUCGUCUCUAAAACCUCGGCUCAUCCCGGAUUCCUGAAUCCUGAGCGUCGGGAAGCUUCAGGCUGGAGAAACGUUGGUCUCCUCAGCUGAGCGGCUCCAGCUGUGCCGGCCCAGUAAUCUCCACACUUCCCAGUUUCCCACGCUGAGCUCAUUCCAGAGCCGCUAAACAAUGCCGAGUCCGGAGCAGAUGACUCCCGGCCGCCCCCUCCCCCGCCGCCCUGGGUUCGCGCUCAGAUUGGUGUAAUUUACAGCAGCUGGCAGGAAAACAGGACUGGUUGGGAAACACGCUUUUCCCACACAGAUCCAGGGCUCCUGAAGGGGUCGUAGAUUCAGAACCACUGGAUGAGUUCUGCUCCAUUUGAUGGAGAGUCUUCAGAUGUGAGACUUUAUUCACUGAAACAUGUUUAUUAUUUUCUUUUUUGACCUUUUUGCAAAGUUAAAACACAAAGCCGAGUUCUCCUACACAUGAUGCAGACCAUAAACGCCUCAUUCGUUAUCCAGACUGUCCUGAAGCCGAUGACAUCACUGAAACAUGUCUGAAUAAAAACCUGCUUUUGUUCCCUUUAA